rnacentral:lncRNA from 1 species
CUUAUAUAUUGUUUAAUGGUACAUUGUAAUACACAUACUAGAUGAUUAACAUUUUCACAUAGAAUCUUAUAAAUCUUUCUCAAAUCUCUUUCCUAAACUUUAGAAUAUUCUUUCUCAUUUAUCUAUAAAAAUAGUAUUCACAAUUAUUCUUUUGAAAAUUAUACACUGAUGUUAUAAUUAAUUUGAAUGAAAUUAUCUUAUUUCAUUAUAAAAAAGAAAAAACAUAAAAAGGGAGAAUAGAAAAAGUAAGAAAAUUAGCAGCUGCCUGUAUAGCUGAGGAAAACAAUAAUUAUCUGCUUCCUUGCAUAUCACUUCUCCUUGUACAUUUGUUUGGAAGUAAAAAUUAAUGUAUAACAGAAUAAAAUGUCUUAUAAAUGAACUAUGUACAGUUGGUUAAAACAAAAUAUACAACACUAAUUCUUUCACUAUUACUUUGUUACUGCAUUUCAUACAUUUUACAGCCAAAGUCCAUUUCUUUCAUUUCUCCUCUCAGUUCAUUCAAAACCUACAUUAUUCAUCAUCUAAUUAAAAUAAACAAUAUCCAACUCAUUCACAAAUAUUCUUACUCAUUUACGUCCAUCAUACAUGUUUAUAUCUAUCAAAGCUAAAUACCUUGAACAGAACAUAAUAUUGCCUGUCAUUCAAAUAGUGCUAAGGGACGACAUCAAAAGAUCAAUGAAGGAUAAAAUACUUAAUUCAAAUAGUUUGGGGGUGGGGAGUUAAACUUGCUGCAAGUUUUGAUUAUCCUACAUCGAUUUUACAUAUAUCCAUAUGGGUCAAUCAAUUUUUUCCAAAUUAAGUUAAGAGGGGGGUAGGGGGGUCAUUAAAAAAACUAUGUGAAUUAAGUUUUUUAUCCUACAUUGAACUUUUGAUGUAGUCCCUUAUUUCUUAU